rnacentral:rRNA from 1 species
AUUGAACGCUGGCGGCAGGCCUAACACAUGCAAGUCGAACGGUAACAGGAAGAAGCUUGCUUCUUUGCUGACGAGUGGCGGACGGGUGAGUAAUGUCUGGGAAACUGCCUGAUGGAGGGGGAUAACUACUGGAAACGGUAGCUAAUACCGCAUAACGUCGCAAGACCAAAGAGGGGGACCUUCGGGCCUCUUGCCAUCGGAUGUGCCCAGAUGGGAUUAGCUAGUAGGUGGGGUAACGGCUCACCUAGGCGACGAUCCCUAGCUGGUCUGAGAGGAUGACCAGCCACACUGGAACUGGGACACGGUCCAGACUCCUACGGGAGGCAGCAGUGGGGAAUAUUGCACAAUGGGCGCAAGCCUGAUGCAGACAUGCCGCGUGUAUGAAGAAGGCCUUCGGGUUGUAAAGUACUUUCAGCGGGGAGGAAGGGAGUAAAGUUAAUACCUUUGCUCAUUGACGUUACCCGCAGAAGAAGCACCGGCUAACUCCGUG